rnacentral:lncRNA from 1 species
AUGUGCAUACUGCACCUGCACACCCACAUGUUGCACCUGCACACCCACAUGUACACACGUGCACCUGCACACCCACAUGUACACACGUGCACCUGCACACCCACAUGUGCACACGUGCACCUGCACACCCACAUGUGCACACGUGCACCUGCACACCCACAUGUGCACACGUGCACCUGCACACCCACAUGUUCACACUCGCACAUGAACACCUACA